GAUGAAAGACUUUAGAGCCCUUCAGUCCCCUAAUUUGAGGGGCCAGCCCCUUUUUCUUGAUAUCAAAUAAAAGGCCAUCUAAUUCUACACAAAUUUUGUUCAACAAGUGUUUAGAACUUCGUUACCGAUUUGGAGAUAUAUGAGACAGAAUGUUUUAGGGGCCGGUCCCUUAUCUCCUUUUAGGGGCUAUUUAACGAAAUUUUGACGGUUGCAUAUUGUUAAGAACAUUGAUUUGAACAACUUUUCUUCUGUACUGCAUUACAAAAAAAUUUUCCUUUCUGAGAUAUGGGUGAUCGAGAUUUUGGACUUUUGGCCCCUAACAACCCUUAAUUACGUAAUACAUGACAAAAUCAAUACAUUGCUUGCAUACAUAACUGUGAGAUAAACAAAUUUGCUUCUAUAACAUUUCACAAAAUAUCUCUCAGUAAAGGGCUAAAGAUUAAAGACUUUAGAGCCCUUUAGACCCCUUAUUUGAGGGGCCAGGCCCUUUUUCUUGAUAUCAAAUAAAAGGUCACUUAAUUCUACACAAAUUUUGUUCAACAAGUGUUUAGAAAUUUGUUACCGUUUUGGAGAUAUAUGAGACAGAAUGUUUUAGGGGCCGGUCCCUUAUCUCCUUUUAGGGACCGUUUAACGAAAUUUUGACGGUUACAUAGUGUUAAGGACAUUGAUUUGAACAACUUUUCUUCUGUACAGCAUUACAAAAUAGUUUUCCUUUCUGAGAUAUGGGUGAUCGAAAUUUAGGACUUUUGGCCCCUAAAAACCCUUAAUUACGUAAUACAUGACAAAAUCAUUACAUUGCUUUGAUACAUAACUAUUAGAUAAACACAUUUGCUUAUUUAACAUUUCACAAAAUAUCUCUCAGUAAAGGGCUAAAGAUUAAAGACUUUAGAGCCCUUUAGACCCCUUAUUUGAGGGGCCAGCCCCUUUUUUUUGACUUCAAAGAAAAGGUCUUGUAAAUAGAAACUUUUUUUACAUUACAUGUCUUAACAAAAUAUUUUUCAUAAAAAAGAUAAUCAAAGAAAACCAGGAAAAAUUACGACGUUUUUUUCAUCUCAAUUUUCGGGUCCAGGCGAGCUUCGGCGCCUUUCAAGAUAGAUCAAAAUGAAAAUAAAAUUACAAAUCUACAAUCUUUUGUCUACUAUCGCUGAGAGUUUGAACUCGAUAUCUUUUAUAGUUUAGGAGAACGUAGAGGGACAAGGGACCCCUCUGAAAAUCGCUAAAACGUCAAUUUCUUGAAAACGUAAGUGACGUCAUCAAUAUAAUAUAAAACCUAUAAGGUUUAGAUCAUUAUCUAUAAGAUCUGAAAGUUUCAUGAAAAUCGGUCGAGCCGUUUCUGAGAAAUCGCGUGCACAAAUUUUGU
rnacentral:sRNA from 1 species